rnacentral:rRNA from 1 species
AUUGAACGCUGGCGGAAUGCUUUACACAUGCAAGUCGAACGGCAGCACGGACUUCGGUCUGGUGGCGAGUGGCGAACGGGUGAGUAAUGUAUCGGAACGUGCCCAGUCGUGGGGGAUAACGUAGUGAAAAUUACGCUAAUACCGCAUACGAUCUAUGGAUGAAAGCGGGGGAUCGCAAGACCUCGCGCGAUUGGAGCGGCCGAUAUCAGAUUAGGUAGUUGGUGGGGUAAAGGCCCACCAAGCCAACGAUCUGUAGCUGGUCUGAGAGGACGAACAGCCACACUGGAACGGAGACACGGUCCAGACACCUACGGGAAGCAGCAGUGGGGAAUUUUGGACAAUGGGCGUAAGCCUGAUCCAGCCAUUCCGCGUGCAGGAUGAAGGCCCUCGGGUUGUAAACUGCUUUUGUACAGAACGAAAAGGUUUCUACUAAUACUAGGAGCUCAUGACGGUACUGUAAGAAUAAGCACCGGCUAACUACGUGCCAGCCGCCGCAGUAA